rnacentral:rRNA from 1 species
CCUACGGGUGGCUGCAGUGGGGAAUAUUGCACAAUGAGCGCAAGCCUGAUGCAGCCAUGCCGCGUGUGUGAAGAAGGCCUUCGGGUUGUAAAGCACUUUCAGCGGGGAGGAAGGCGGUGAGGUUAAUAACCUCAUCGAUUGACGUUACCCGCAGAAGAAGCACCGGCUAACUCCGUGCCAGCAGCCGCGGUAAUACGGAGGGUGCAAGCGUUAAUCGGAAUUACUGGGCGUAAAGCGCACGCAGGUGGUCUGUCAAGUCGGAUGUGAAAUCCCCGGGCUCAACCUGGGAACUGCAUUCGAAACUGGCAGGCUAGAGUCUUGUAGAGGGGGGUAGAAUUCCAGGUGUAGCGGUGAAAUGCGUAGAGAUCUGGAGGAAUACCGGUGGCGAAGGCGGCCCCCUGGACAAAGACUGACGCUCAGGUGCGAAAGCGUGGGGAGCAAACAGGAUUAGAUACCCUUGUAGUC